CCAUGACAGAUUAAAGGGGCCACUGUAAUGUCUCUGACCAGGCAAGCCCAUUAAUAAAUAAUGACGAGCUACCCAUCAAGCCUCUUGAGAUGUCUGGUUCUUCCCCAUCAUUGCCGCCCUCCCAGCGGGGUACAGCUGCUGCAUUAUUAAUGAGACGAGAGCGGGAGGUGUCCAGCUGGGGCCUGAGCCUGCGUUGGACACACCCGAACCCGUUACACCCGUCAUGUUGAGGGACUAAAGUCUUUGUGUGAUCUGGCAGACAGCCUGAAUCCCCUAAGGUGCUGGACUGUGUCUCCCCCUGCAGGAUGAAAAGGGAAACGAUAAAAAGGGAUUAAACUCAUCUCUGUGGAAAUUGUAUUUACAUUGGGAGCAAAGCAGACUGAUUUUAUUCUACAAAAAAGGUUAAUGGUAAACUGCACAUAUCUGCAUGUUUAAAUACAUAUUUAUUAAUAGCAGCGCCAAAAAUGCAUCUAACGUGUCAGUAUACGUAGGCUUUUGUUUAAACAACCAACAGCACAAUGUUAUUUUUCAGUCACUCAAGAUAUAUUCGCAUCCUUCAGCCAGGAAAAACAUAAAAGCUACAUCCUUACUUCAAUUACAAUUUAAGUUGGAGCCAGAGUUUCCUCCUGGACAGAAGAGGGGGCUGUUUGUCGCGAGCUUCACGCUCACUCAGCCGCCAUAAUGAGACCCGUUUGUGAGUUUUGAGUGGAGCGUCAGGCUGCAGAUUAAAAACAGAAAUUUAACAGCGGCUGAUGAUUGUACGGACUACGUCUGAUGCCGGAACACAGUUGUGUAGCGAAGACAAACACAACUCUACACCAGCCACAGUUUUGUCGUCUAAUUCCAUCAUUUUAGCUGCAAGGUUUCAGAAAUUAAGUAUAAAAAAGAAAGAAACGCUUGCUAUGUCUGGUGAAACCAACUUUGUGACCAACAAAGCCUCUUAGGGGUAAUAGAGUUACUCCGAGGAAUGUAAAACUACCCGUGGGUUUUUUUUUUAUUUAAGAUUUGCUCCACUAUUAACAAAUAUCACAAGUUCUGCCAAUGCCACAAUUGAGUGCUGCAUAUUUGCGGCAACCACUGGCCGCUUACCAGCAACCACACUUCCUUCUGGAUUUGCAUUUAGGAAAUUUAGAAAAGAUUUUUUGCAAAGUAGUACGUGACUGCGGUUUGUUCUAGAGAAACACGUAAUCGGAGCCAUAACAGACCAAAAUGAAACUUCUCCUUUCCAUUUUUAAAGGCCGUGAGGAUCAGGACCAGAUGUGGGAGCAGACUUUGAAAGAGUGAGAACUCAUUAAGCCUUUUUUUUAGCUGAACUUGGAAUAUUGUGCAAGAGCACGUGAGAGCAACGCUGCUACCUGUGAGUGAGACAUCAAAGAGCACUGCAGCUGCUAAUGACAGGCCCGUGCAUGCCUCAGUUCCUAAAUUAGCCAGCACAGCUAAUUAUCCCCCAAAAAGUACAGACCGUCAAGCAGAAAAAUGCAUCUAAAGCUCAUUUUUAUCUGAGAACCCCCCCCCACACCCUUCUCCCAAUGGGAUCAAUUGGUUGCCCUGCUUUUGACAUUCAUCGAUCAGUAGGAUUUCUUCAGGAACAUUUGGUCUAG
ensembl:lncRNA